rnacentral:rRNA from 1 species
CAGUAGCCGCGGUAAUACGGAGGGAGCUAGCGUUGUUCGGAAUUACUGGACGUAAAGCGCGCGUAGGCGGUUACUCAAGUCAGAGGUGAAAGCCCGGGGCUCAACCCCGGAACUGCCUUUGAAACUAGGUGACUAGAAUCUUGGAGAGGUCAGUGGAAUUCCGAGUGUAGAGGUGAAAUUCGUAGAUAUUCGGAAGAACACCAGUGGCGAAGGCGACUGACUGGACAAGUAUUGACGCUGAGGUGCGAAAGCGUGGGGAGCAAACAGGAUUAGAUACCCCCGUAGUCCCUGUCUCUUAUAC